CCGCGGCUUUGCGCGGACACGGAACCCCGCAGAAAGUCUCCAGGAGUGUCCCGCGCAGGGACCCGACACCGCGGGCAGCCCCGGGACCCACUCCGCCGCCUGUCCCCCUCCCGCGCGGGGGCUGCGCUCGGGUGCCGGCCCGGCGGGGCCCUGCAGGGGGCCGCGUGCCCUGCGCGGGGCCGAGCGAGGCGGGGGAGCGUGAGGGCGGCGGCUCCUAGACUCGAGGCCUUCGAUGGAGCCGGCGGGCAGCGCGGGCGACCCGGGCUCCUCUGCAGGAAUAAAAGACAGAAAAGAACAUCAAGCAUGGUACUUGAAAAUAUCAAAGCUGGCACUGGCUUUGGCAAUUAUCCACUCAAAGCCUCCAGAAAAAAGCAGCAAAGAAUACACAGAGCAUCUUGCUAAAAUUAUUUCUGGACAGGAUUUUAAAUGGAGAUCAAAAGUUGAAGCAUUAGAAGCUGAAGUCCUUAGAUUACGUCAGCAGCUUCUUUUGAACAAGAUCUGUCCAAGAUUCUGCUUGGAAAAUAGAAACCCAGAUGCCUUUACUGAAAUUCUGCUGGAUCAAGAACAUAUAAACCCUAUAAUAAAUUGCUCAAGUCAGCUAGAAGAUUCUGGGUGUGAUGUAUCUAGUGACUGUGUAUUUGAUACUGUAGACACAUCCCAUAACUUUGGGCACUCUGAGCAUAGUUGUAACACUUCAUCUUGUACAUUUAAUUCUGAAGUACUUCCCAUAUUGAAUACCCAUUGUACUAGCAAGGAAAAAACUCUGGCUGCUCACAUGCAGUUCUUGCAACAUCUACUUGAACUAAGAAAACUGACUGAAGCAGGAGGUCUGAAAACAGUCUUUACAAAGCUUGAAAGCGACUGCUCCACAAUAUCAGAUUCUGUUUCUCGAUUGCUUGAUGGCCUGCUUACUUUUUACAAGAAUCCUAAAUUUCCUGUCUCAAAUUUUCUGACAGAAGGAGUUUCUGUUUUGAUCAAUUUAAUAACUGAUGCUAAUUUAUCGAAUCAUGUUCUGAAAAUGUGUUUUGAGAAGCUAGAAGAAUUUAAGAAAAACCUAGUUCAGGUUAUUUUAAGCAACAGCAAUAUCAAUAGGUUUCAGGUGCAGUAUCCUGUGUCCCACUCUCUUGUUUUGCUGGGAAGGUGCAACAAAUUAAGAAAGUCUAUAAUAUCUCUGCUGUUAUCUGAAGUAAAUCAAUUUGCUGAUGAGUUGCAGCAAGCCCACCAGAUCGAGGCCAAGUAUAAUGUUACCCAGUAUGAAAAUAUUUUUUCUCUCUGCAUGAUUUUGGAACAGCUUCUUCAGAAGGGGACAGGAGAAGGGCAAGAGAUGCAGGCAGAGUGGACAGGGGAGCUUCAGCCAUCAACUUACCGCACUGAAGACACCGCAGAUUCAGGAGGAAGAUGGAUAUUGAGGGCCCCACAGGAGUAAAUAUAACAGAAACCAAGAGAAGAGGAUCUGCAAGAACUCCACUAAAGAUUUGAACUCUGAGGAUUGAUGAAUGGAAAAGCCUGUGAGGAAGGAUGGGAAGAGACAAAGCUGUUAGAAUCUGCUGUUAAAAGGGAGUGUCUCUCUAGCAAGGAGAAACUGGACCAGAACCAGAAAACAAGACUGGGCAGGAGGAGAAGAUGGUGCAGAAAGAUCUUGGAGGACACUGACUAAGACCCUACAAGCUCUCAGGA